rnacentral:rRNA from 1 species
AUACGUAGGGUGCGAGCGUUGUCCGGAAUUACUGGGCGUAAAGAGCUCGUAGGUGGUUUGUCGCGUCGUCUGUGAAAUUCCGGGGCUUAACUCCGGGCGUGCAGGCGAUACGGGCAUAACUUGAGCACUGUAGGGGAGACUGGAAUUCCUGGUGUAGCGGUGAAAUGCGCAGAUAUCAGGAGGAACACCGGUGGCGAAGGCGGGUCUCUGGGCAGUAACUGACGCUGAGGAGCGAAAGCAUGGGUAGCGAACAGGAUUAGAUACCCUGGUAGUCCAUGCUGUAAACGGUGGGCGCUAGGUGUAGGGGUCUUCCACGACUUCUGUGCCGUAGCUAACGCAUUAAGCGCCCCGCCUGGGGAGUACGGCCGCAAGGCUAAAACUCAAAGGAAUUGACGGGG